GGUAGAAUGGCUGAGUUAGAGGUAGUAAAUUGUAAAUUUAUUUAGGGGAAGUAGUUCUCUUCUAUCA
rnacentral:tRNA from 1 species